rnacentral:rRNA from 1 species
CCCUUAGAUGUUCUGGGCUGCACGCGUGCUACACUGAUAUUGCCAAUAUGUCAUUCUUAACCGAAAUGGAUUGGGUAAUCAAGUAAUGAAAUUUCAUGCUUGGAAUCGGUAAUUGCAAUUUUAUCGUGAACGAGGAAUUCCUAGUAAGCACUAGUCAUCAGCUAAUGUUGAUUAUGUCCCUGCCCUUUGUACGCACCGCCCGUCGCUACUACUGAUUGGGUGUUCAAGUGAGAUGCUUAGACCCUUGUUGCAUGGUUCAUUAUUGUGCUCCGAAAGGAAAAAGUUUCAAGCUUGAGUGUCUAGAGGAAGUAAAAGUCGUAACA